AUUAUAGGGUGGUAAACCUUUGCACUAUGUCUAAAAUUCAUAUAUGAGUGAGUACAUACCAUGUUUGCCUUUUUGUGACUGGGUUACCUCACUUAGGAUGGUUUCUUCUAGUUCCAUCCAUUUGCCUUCGAAUUUCAAGAUUCCAUUGCUUUUUUCUGCUGAGUAGUACUCCAUUGUAUAAUUGUACCACAUUUUCUCUAUCUAUUCUUCAGUUGAGGGGCAUCUAGGUUGCUUCCAGGUUCUGGCUAUUACAAACAAUGCUGCUAUGAACAUGGUUGAACAUAUGUCCUUGUUGUAUGAACAUGCACUAUUUGGGUAUAUACCCAAGAGAGGAAUGGAGAACCACUGCUUUAAACUCUCUCUCUCUCUCUCUAGGCUAAUCUCCAAGGAUAGAUGUUGAGUUCACAGGGGUCUGGUGUCUCUGUUCAGACAAAAGCCUUGGGAAAUGGCAAGUUGACAGAUGGACCUGGUUCAACAGACAGCUCCAAAUCCAUAGUUACACAGACAAUCAUGUUUAUCUCGGUGGGUCACAAAAAGAAAAAGAAGAAGAAGAAGAAGAAGAAGAAGAAGAAGAAGAAGAAGAAGAAGAAGAAGAAGAAGAAGAAGAAGAAGAAGAAGAGAUAGACAUGGAUGUGAACAAGAGGAAAUUUGUCGUGAGGAAUGGGGAGAUAGGAGUUGACAGCUCAGUGUGCAUUUCAUACUGGGCUGUAUGGAACCUGUCUGGUUUGUACAGGAUAGUCUUAGACCUGAAGAAACACUGGCUUGGUUGUAGAAUGCGCCAGCCUUGUGACCCUUCCCUAGCCCUUUCCAAAGAACUACAGAAUCCCAGCGUAGAUCCCGAACCAAGGCAGAGAAACAGGGAAAGUUACAGUGCCGCUCAAAGACCUUCCCACACAGUCUCUCUUCCCACAGCGGUGACAUUCUCCUCCAGGUGCCAUGAAUCAUUUCCGCCCCUUCCCACCUGAGGGAGUGGAAGAGCUCUCUCCGGAUCUGUAACCAGAAUUCCUACUUCACCGAAGAGAAACAAAUCUGGGUCACCUGUUCCUGGCCCUCAUCUCACCAGGUCCCAACUCUUAUCAUCUCCCAGGAACAGCAUGGAGUUGAGCUUUGCUGGAGUGCUCUAGUGUGCAUUUGAAUGAAUGGAAGGCCUCACCAUGAACUGAUGUGUGUAUCAUUUCCAUUCUUAGAGAUGGUGAAGUAAGUCUUAGGCAGGACAGGGCUCUGAGUAACAAGGUGGGUGGCGGAGCAGGUAUUGCAUUUGAAGUUGUCUGAUUCCAAACUUGAAUGUUUAACCACUAUCUUACAUUAUUUGGCUCCUCCAUCCUAUGAAACUUCUUCCUAAUUAACAGGGUGGAAACUAUAUAGAGAGGAAAACCUCAUAAAUGCUUAAUUGGGCACAUGUGGAGAACUUAAAGGAAACAUUUUACUUUCGGAAGUCUUGGCGAGGAGAAGUGAACAAGCGUGUGUGGGGGUGGGGGGCGGGAGGGAUAAAAGCCUCGACAGUUCUUAGUCCACAGCAUCUCUUGACUGUUUUUUUUUUUUUAAUUGUUGUCUCCUUAUCAACUGAUUCUUUGUCACCACUUGUUUUACACUAACACUGUGACAGUUGUCAGGCUGGAUCAUCAGAGCUAUGAGGUUAAGGUUUCCAGAGAAGUGCUAAACUUCCAGUCUCCUGCCUAUAUUCACAGGCAGUGACCUGGAUUUACCUGAGAGGAAGAGCUUAUGACAUUGAUUUUAAGCCACAGAUAAGCAUUUUGUGUCCAACUUAUUGUAACAUGGGCCAAACACACAAAGAUAUUUAAUUCUGUAUGUUCCUGUAGGAAAACAAAAUAAAGCAGGGAAAAUACAUAAUGGAAGUUAAAAU
rnacentral:lncRNA from 1 species